AACGCUGGCGGCGCGCCUAACACAUGCAAGUCGAACGAGAGAUGAAGAGCUUGCUCUUCAAAUCGAGUGGCGAACGGGUGAGUAACGCGUGAGGAACCUGCCUCAAAGAGGGGGACAACAGUUGGAAACGGCUGCUAAUACCGCAUAAGCCCACGGCUCGGCAUCGAGCAGAGGGAAAAGGAGCAAUCCGCUUUGAGAUGGCCUCGCGUCCGAUUAGCUAGUUGGUGAGGUAACGGCCCACCAAGGCGACGAUCGGUAGCCGGACUGAGAGGUUGAACGGCCACAUUGGGACUGAGAUACGGCCCAGACUCCUACGGGAGGCAGCAGUGGGGAAUAUUGGGCAAUGGGCGCAAGCCUGACCCAGCAACGCCGCGUGAAGGAAGAAGGCUUUCGGGUUGUAAACUUCUUUUAAGAGGGAAGAGCAGAAGACGGUACCUCUAGAAUAAGCCACGGCUAACUACGUG
rnacentral:rRNA from 1 species